GGCAUCAGCCAAGCAGCACCAGGUUCCUGUGUAAGCAGGCAGUGCCCUGAAUUAGUUGAUUUCUGCCUCACUCCCUGAUGUCUGAGUUUGGAGAUGUACCAAGAACUGGUAGUUUUUGCAGUGGGAUGUUCCCUAGAAACUGCAUGGAGCUGAGCCAAGGAACUUAAAGGGACUGAGCAAGCAAAGUCAAGAAAGAAAGAAGAAGGGAACUGAGGCAGCAGCCAAGCAGCCCCAAAUUCCUCCACAACCAAGGAAUAACUCCUGUCAGCAGCAAGGUCCCG